CCGCACUGUAUGUACUUGUUUUCAUACAGAAUCAAACCUCACAACCGAAACUACAGAGAGAUCAACUGAAACUACAGAGAGAUCAACUGAAACUACAGAGAGAUCAACUGAAACUACAGAGAGAUCAACUGAAACUACAGAGAGAUCAACUGAAACUAAGACCUCUCCAGAACCAGGGAAAAGAAGGCAGGUGGUGAGGAUUGAGAUAAAGGCAGCAGAAGGACUGGAUCUUGAAAACCCCACAGUCAGCAACGCUAUUUUGGCUGAGAUUCGAGAGCGCUUCUACAAGCUCGCCCCAGUGGAAGGCUUGAAGCUGAGCUGGAGGAAGAGGGCUGGAGGAGUAUUCCACAAGCAGGAGGAAGAGUGUCCCAAGCCCUGAGAUAGCAAAGCCUGACCAGCACAGCUUCCAGUAUCAUUGCCUUCUGAUGGCUUCAUACAAAUGACAGUUCCACACACGUUGUGUCCAUUUCUAAAACCUCCUCAAUCUCAGCUUUUGGUACUGGUAGUCUUUUCAAGUCUUUUGAAGACUUGUAAAGAAUUAUCUGAGCAGAAACAGUAUAUGUAAUUCUUGAAAUGUAUUUUUGUUUAUGACUGUAAGUCGCCCUGGAUAAGGGCGUCUGCUAAGAAAUAAAUAAUAAUAAUAAUACAAAACACAUGUAGAAUAUAUUAUAAUAAAUACCUAUGUACAGUUUAGUCAAACUGGAGCUUUCAACAGCUCAGCCAAUCAGAUGUCAGUAGUGUGAAAAAGUAUGUCAGCACGAGCUACACUCACACAGCAUAUGGAAUAACUUCUUGUAACAAGUGUUCAUGCAAAGUUUAAUCAAAUAUGGGAAAUGGAUCUGCAAAAGUAGGUGACAAUGACAAAUAUUUGGAUACUCUCAAGCACUUGUGCUAAUGAAUGCCCAUACCAAGCUUCAUCACAACUGAAUGAGCGAGUCUCAAAUAUACUGCAGUUAAUACAAACAUACAGUCACCUCCCCUGUAUCUUUGUUGCCAGGGAGAAGUGUAAAUGCAAAUGUUAUUGAACCUAAUUUAUUUAUUUAUUUUAAAACCACCCUUAACAUUAACAAUGUUCAACAGCAGAUGAUCAGAGCAGCAGUGAAAAUGUGAUUGGAGAUGUAUUUUCACUGCUCCCAUUAUCAUUGUUUAGUGGAACUUUUCCUUGUUAAGAUGUUGUUGCUGAGGUUUAAAAUGAAUGUUCUUACCACUGCCAUUUUCACUGCUCCCCUUAUUAUUAAAUGUUACCCUACCCUCUAUCUUCAUCUAUCUAUCUAUCUAAAUUAUAUCUCUAAAUGAACAGGAAGGGUUUAUUUAGUUAUCUGUAAAUACUCUAUCCUGAUUGGUUAAAACAGGUUGAAUGGGGGUGUUGAUAUUACAGCCUAUCACCAUGGGUGGGCACUUCUUUUCAAAAAAGGGGCAAAUCACUGGUAGAUAUCCAUAUGCCACUAGAAGUUUGGAGAAA